GGCCUCCCUCUGCAGGGUAAUUGAUCACAGAGCCCCCCGAUUGAUUGCCCUGCAGAGGGUGGCC
rnacentral:pre_miRNA from 1 species